UCAAUAAUAAUCUCAACUAAACACUAGUAAGUACCGUGCCGGAAACAUUCAGGAUGAGGGAUAACAACUGUAAAAGUUCUCGACUCUUGAUCUAAAACAGUGGUCCAGGAAUAUUAGCAUUUAAAGGGGCAUCCCCAGAAUGAACACCUCUGAUAUAAAACCAUAAGAAACACAAUUCUGGCAUUGAGUGAGCGACAGCAACACAGUUAUAGAAAUGUGGAUCACGACUAAACACAAGAAAUCCAAGAAAGCAAAGCAAUGUCAUGAAACUCCCAAUGAGUAGUAUGACAAUGGUGGAAUGGUUAUUGGCCAUUACAAUCUCCAAAGAAUGCAUGAUGCUCUAGAUAGAUCCCCGAGUUCUUUCCAACGAUUGUUGCAAAUAAUUCAAAUUCUUAAGCCAUUUGAAUUGGAGUAAUGUCUGUUACUCUCAUUUGAACAAUUUAUUCAAAAUAUAUUUUUUAUGGUAUCAAAAUAAAUUUACUUGCAAAAGAGUGACAGACAAUAGAGACAUAGGAAAGUGGGGAAAAAAAAGAAGACUAAUAUUGGGUGUGGACUGUGGACCAUGUUGAGUGAUUACCCUACCCUACCUCGUCCUGAGAAGGGAUGGAGCCAAAGCAUUCAUUCUGGAAUGAGAUGUUGACGCACUUGGAAUUAAAAAAGAGUUUCUACCGUAUUGUUAAGGUUGUACCCGGACUCCUGUAAAAGCUUUUCGAUGUUGUUUGAAAAGGGCUUCUCGAGAAAAGGGUAACCACUUUUCCUCCAAAGAUUCCACUUUUCUGAUUUCUUUCGCCUUUCCUUUCGUCCUUUUACUGUCCCUCGGGGUUCCUCCCUCAACUCAGACUCAGAAGAAGAACCUCACACCGCAAAGCUCAAACACCCCACCCCCAAGUGGUCAAAAUGUCAACAAUGCCAAUGUACCAACAACAAGAACAACCUCCUCCAAUGAUCAGUGUGACACAACAAUCAUCACAUGAGUCCAUUGGUCCCUUGAUUGGAGUUCUGGUCGUUGUAAUUGUUUUGGGCGUAAUUGCUGUUAUGAUUGGAAGGCUUUGUUCAGGAAGAAGAAUCAUGGGGCAUGGCCAAUACGAUGUUGAAAGCUGGGCAGAGAGAAAGUGUUCAUCUUGCAUUGAUGGCAGAAUUAACCUCUCACUUCCCACAAGAGUCAGUGAGUCAAGCAACUCAGUUCCUGCAACACCCAUCCACGCUUGUCAAGAAACCAAGCGACCAGAACAAUCUUCUCAGACAUCGCCACCUAACCUUUGAUUUCUAUCAGGGUGUUUUUUUUAUAUAUGUAAAAAAAUAUCAUAGUUCAUUUCGAUAUUUUGUUGUCUUGUUAUUAUUGUUUCAAUUUUCGUCGUUCUUUUGUUUUUCCUUUUUGUCCUAUCGAAUCACCCUCCUCAAGUAGUUACCAAAAUUUAGUCUUCAGAUGUAAUUUCUAUCUGCAAUAUAUAAGGCUGCACCAUCUACUCCUUCAUGCAGUAUCCCACUAUCCCUGGCUUCACUGUAACUUUACAGAGGCCGUUUAACACUUUAGUUAUGUACCUUAGAAUAUAUUAUUGGGGUCACACUCUCACAGCCUCCCAAGUAUUCUUGUUUCGUUAAUAUUAAACUGCUACUUAAUGACAUGUAUUAGCAACA